UACAGAGGGGGCAAGCGUUAAUCGGAAUUACUGGGCGUAAAACGUGCGUAGACGGUUACAUAAGUCGGGUGUGAAAGCCCCGGGCUCAACCUGGGAAUUGCAUUCGAGACUGCGUAGCUAGGGUGCGGAAGAGGGAAGCGGAAUUUCCGGUGUAGCGGUGAAAUGCGUAGAUAUCGGAAGGAACACCAGUGGCGAAAGCGGCUUCCUGGUCCAGCACCGACGUUCAGGCACGAAAGCGUGGGGAGCAAACAGG
rnacentral:rRNA from 1 species